rnacentral:rRNA from 1 species
CCUACGGGUGGCAGCAGUGGGGGAUAUUGCACAAUGGGGGGAACCCUGAUGCAGCGACGCCGCGUGUGGGAAGACGGUCCUCUGGAUUGUAAACCACUGUCCCCAGGGACGAAAAUGACGGUACCUGGGGAGGAAGCUUCGGCUAACUACGUGCCAGCAGCCGCGGUAAUACGUAGGGAGCGAGCGUUGUCCGGAAUUACUGGGUGAAAAGGGAGCGUAGGCGGGGAUACAAGUUGGGUGGCAAAACUACUGGCUCAACUGGUAGUCGCACUCAAAACUGCAGCUCUUGAGUGAAGUAGAGGCAGGCGGAAUUCCUGGUGUAGCGGUGAAAUGCGUAGAUAUUAGGAGGAACACCAGUGGCGAAGGCGGGCGGCUGGGCUUUUACUGACGCUGAGGCUCGAAAGUGUGGGUAGCAAACAGGAUUAGAUACCCCAGUAGUC